GAUGAACGCUGGCGGCGUGCCUAAUACAUGCAAGUCGAGCGAACAGACGAGGAGCUUGCUCCUCUGACGUUAGCGGCGGACGGGUGAGUAACACGUGGAUAACCUACCUAUAAGACUGGGAUAACUUCGGGAAACCGGAGCUAAUACCGGAUAAUAUAUUGAACCGCAUGGUUCAAUAGUGAAAGACGGUUUUGCUGUCACUUAUAGAUGGAUCCGCGCCGCAUUAGCUAGUUGGUAAGGUAACGGCUUACCAAGGCAACGAUGCGUAGCCGACCUGAGAGGGUGAUCGGCCACACUGGAACUGAGACACGGUCCAGACUCCUACGGGAGGCAGCAGUAGGGAAUCUUCCGCAAUGGGCGAAAGCUUGACGGAGUAACGCCACGUGAGUGAUGAAGGUCUUCGGAUCGUAAAACUCUGUUAUUAGGGAAGAACAAAUGUGUAAGUAACUAUGCACGUCUUGACGGUACCUAAUCAGAAAGCCACGGCUAACUACGUG
rnacentral:rRNA from 1 species